UGGUGCAGCCGCGGGUGCCGCCGCCGGGAGCCGCCUUCCCCGGUGCCCGAAGUGACACCAUCUGUCAACUUCAUUUAGACAUUGCGGCCCUCAGCCACACGCCAGGGUGCCAGACGCCCAAAGGGAACUAUUUCAAGGCCAAUAUUUGACUGAUGUCUGGACUUUGGAUGUUCCUGCAAAUGAAGAUUGGAGUUGGCAGUGUAGCCUGCAGCUGCCAGAGGAGGCCCAAGAAGACGUGGGUGUUUAUGAAACUUCCUGUCCAGAGAAAUCAAGUCUCCUGAGCCUGGUUAGAAGCUCAAAAGGCUACAGAAAAGACCAAGUUUCCUAUGCCUCAAUUUUCUUUCUGUUUUUGGAUUUCACCUUCAGGACCAGUUCAACCCAGCAUCCCUGAAGCUUCCAAAUAAAACCAUCAAGGAUGGUAGAUUUUUACAAUGUGCUCUUGCAGAUCUCUGGGGUGUCUGGGACCUUGACAGGGAGUCUGUGGGUUGAAACCAUUUUCAUUAUAAUACUAAGACGAUAUUUCCUUUUUACAUGAGAGUACAAUAGAGUUUUCCAAAAGCUCUAUAGAAUGUGACAAUGUCAUUGUUCUGGUGGGCAAUGGAACGUGUGUUUGUGUAUUCUUAGGUUCUCUAGAAUUUUCUAAGUUAGUGUAGUCGAGGGGUAUAUGUGCACGUUUUUUGAGUUCAACUCCAUUUGUCCUCAGUACUUUUGUUCUUGGUGUCUUAACUAUUUCUACUGUAAUCUUCAUAAAUUGCUAUUUGGAAGUCCCAACAGUUUUCUUGCACUUGUACAGAAAUAUAACAAAAUGUAAAUAAACUUUUGUCUUCUUUCAGAAUUUUAUCUUUUUCUGAAAAAAAAAAACUCUUGUAAAUUUGAUAAUUUUGUCUGAAAUUGUUACUCUUUUAGAACCGAAUAUUUCAUUUAAAAAUAAAAUGGAAUUUAUAACAUAUUUUCAUUAUUUUUGAGAGUGGAUCAUUAACUUUAAAAGAGGGGAUUCGAAGAUGUGCUUUCCCGAAGGUGCAGAAAGAUGCUGAAGAGGACGGAGUUGAAGGGCAACAUUUAAUCCACAGACACUGGAAGAAAUGGUAAAUAAGAAAUGAAAAUGUGAAGAAAGCCAUUUCCCACCUCAGCGCUGUAGAUGUUAAAAAUUCACUGUGUUGUGUCUUAGGCAACAGAAAAAAAAAUGAAGUGUUAUUAUGGUGGUAAUUAAGUUGUGACUUCAUUUUUUUGGACCGAUUAUUCAGAGUUUUAAGAAAAAAACAAUUGAGUAUUUUAAACAUAGACAUGAUGAGUUCCUUUAGAACUCCAAAAUUAUUUGUUACAGCUUUUCAAAGUCGACAUGAAAGAACAACCAGCAUCUUAGAGUAAGUAACCAUAUUGCACGGGCUGGGUAAGUGAUCACACAGCUUAGGGAAGCCUUGCCCAGCCGGCUUUGCACUAGUAAUGAAGAGUCAGCCAAGAGGUGGCACUGCCCCUCGCCAACA